rnacentral:rRNA from 1 species
GACGAACGCUGGCGGCGUGCUUAACACAUGCAAGUCGAACGGUAAGGCCCUUCGGGGUACACGAGUGGCGAACGGGUGAGUAACACGUGGGUGAUCUGCCCUGCACCUCGGGAUAAGCCUGGGAAACUGGGUCUAAUACCGGAUAGGACCACGCCCUGCACGGGUGGGGGUGGAAAGCUUCUGCGGUGUGGGAUGGGGCCGCGGCCUAUCAGCUUGUUGGUGGGGUGAUGGCCUACCAAGGCGACGAGGGGUAGCCGGCCUGGGAGGGUGACCGGGCACACUGGGACUGAGAUACGGCCCAGACUCCUACGGGAGGCAGCAGUGGGGAGUAUUGCACAAUGGGCGCAAGCCUGAUGCAGCGACGCCGCGUGAGGGAUGACGGCCUUCGGGUUGUAAACCUCUUUCAGCACCGACGAAGCGCAAGUGACGGUAGGUGCAGAAGAAGGACCGGCCAACUACGUGCCAGCCGCCGCCGUAA